AUUGAACGCUGGCGGCAGGCCUAACACAUGCAAGUCGAGCGGAUGAGGGUAGCUUGCUACCUGAUUCAGCGGCGGACGGGUGAGUAAUGCCUAGGAAUCUGCCCGAUAGUGGGGGACAACGUUUCGAAAGGAACGCUAAUACCGCAUACGUCCUACGGGAGAAAGCAGGGGACCUUCGGGCCUUGCACUAUCGGAUGAGCCUAGGUCGGAUUAGCUAGUUGGUGGGGUAAAGCUCACCAAGGCGACGAUCCGUAACUGGUCUGAGAGGAUGAUCAGUCACACUGGAACUGAGACACGGUCCAGACUCCUACGGGAGGCAGCAGUGGGGAAUAUUGGACAAUGGGCGAAAGCCUGAUCCAGCCAUGCCGCGUGUGUGAAGAAGGUCUUCGGAUUGUAAAGCACUUUAAGCUGGGAGGAAGGGCAGUAAGUUAAUACCUUGCUGUUUGACGUUACCAGCAGAAUAAGCACCGGCUAACUUCGUGCCAGCAGCCGG
rnacentral:rRNA from 1 species